GAUGAACGCUGGCGGCGUGCCUAAUACAUGCAAGUCGAACGAGGUGCUUUUGUAGCAAUACGAAAGUAUCCUAGUGGCGAACGGGUGAGUAACGCGUUGGUGACCUACCCCAAAGUGUGGGAUAACAGUUCGAAAGAACUGCUAAUACCGCAUGUGGUUAUCGGGUUUAGAAACUGAUAACUAAAGGAGCAAUUCGCUUUGGGAGGGACCUGCGUCCCAUCAGCUAGUUGGUGAGGUAACGGCUCACCAAGGCUACGACGGGUAGGGGACCUGAGAGGGUGGCCCCCCACAAUGGAACUGAAACACGGUCCAUACACCUACGGGUGGCAGCAGUAGGGAAUAUUGCACAAUGGGCGAAAGCCUGAUGCAGCAACGCCGCGUGUGCGAUGAAGGCCUUCGGGUCGUAAAGCACUUUCUGAGAGAUGAGAAGGACAGUAUCUCAGGGAUAAGUCUCGGCUAACUACGUGCCAGCAGCCGCGGUAAUGUAG
rnacentral:rRNA from 1 species